GACGAACGCUGGCGGCGUGCUUAACACAUGCAAGUCGAACGGUAAGGCCCUUCGGGGUACACGAGUGGCGAACGGGUGAGUAACACGUGGGUGAUCUGCCCUGCACUUCGGGAUAAGCCUGGGAAACUGGGUCUAAUACCGGAUAGGACCACUGCCUGCAUGGGUGGUGGUGGAAAGAUUUUGCGGUGUGGGAUGCGGCGCGGGGCCUAUCAGCUUGUGGGUGGGGUGAUGGCCUACCAAGGCGACGACGGGUAGCCGGCCUGAGAGGGUGACCAGCCACACUGGGACUGAGAUACGGCCCAGACUCCUACGGGAGGCAGCAGUGGGGAAUAUUGCACAAUGGGCGCAAGCCUGAUGCAGCGUCGCCGCGUGAGGGAUGACGGCCUUCGGGUUGUAAACCUCUUUCAGCACCGACGAAGCGCAAGUGACGGUAGGUGCAGAAGAAGGACCGGUCAACUACGUGCCAGCCGCCGCGGUAA
rnacentral:rRNA from 1 species